rnacentral:rRNA from 1 species
GAUGAACGCUGGCGGCGUGCCUAAUACAUGCAAGUCGAGCGAACAGACGAGGAGCUUGCUCCUCUGACGUUAGCGGCGGACGGGUGAGUAACACGUGGAUAACCUACCUAUAAGACUGGGAUAACUGCGGGAAACCGGAGCUAAUACCGGAUAAUAUAUUGAACCGCAUGGUUCAGUAGUGAAAGACGGUUUUGCUGUCACUUAUAGAUGGAUCCGCGCCGCAUUAGCUAGUUGGUAAGGUAACGGCUUACCAAGCCAACGAUGCGUAGCCGACCUGAGAGGGUGAUCGGCCACACGGGAGCUGAGACACGGUCCAGACUCCUACGGGAGGCAGCAGUAGGGAAUCUUACGCAAUGGGCGAAAGCUUGACGGAGCAACGCCGCGUGAGUGAUGAAGGUCUUCGGAUCGUAAAACUCUGUUAUUAGGGAAGAACAAAUGUGUAAGUAACUAUGCACGUCUUGACGGUACCUAAUCAGAAAGCCACGGCUAACUACGUG